AUCACCUUGGGCUUUGGAGGACAGGCUUAAGCAGAAUGGGAGUUAUCACCAUGGCCCUUCUCUCCUCAGUCCAGUUGCCCUACCUCUGAAGACUUGUGCCCAAUAGGGGUGGACAUGGUAGGGAAGAACUGUAGUGUGGCACCACCAGUUUCCUUUUGCAGAUAAAUGCCCAGAUCUAUUCAGGUGAAACCUGCUGGACCUCAGGGUUCUCAUUCCCACUGCUUCUUCCAUGUGUAGCUGAAACUGAGUCAUAAAGGAAGAGUUUGUUGCUGGGAAGAGGAUGAGUAUAUUGGGAGAAUGCUCUACUAGCUGUUCUCCUUUCCUGGACCAUCUUUGUGACAUUGUGUGAUGCUAACUGCACCUUUACUCAAAUGAAGAUCAAUGGAGGCAAUGAAUCAAAAGGUUGCACAGAUGGUCAAGGUGUAUUUCAUUACUUGUAUUCUACAUGGAGUGAUGAUGAAUGUGAAACAUGUGAUUGUCUUGAAAAUGGAAUUGAGUGCUGUAACAUCAUUAUGAGGCCUAUCGGGUAUGAUGAAGAAAAAUGUGAGGAAUUUCUGGACAAAAAGUUAUGUCUUUACAGAGCUGUAGAGAAAGAAAACCACACUCAACUCUGUGAAAUAUCAGAAUAUAUUAUUUAGCCAUUCUAGCUCCUGUUUUUGCUGCCUAAAGUCAUCACCUCCCAAUGGAACUCGUCCUCACUUCAAGCAAUGAUUCUCUUCCUGGAAUUCAGAAUAACAGGAGUUAAUUAUUAAAAUGACUUUGGAUUUCCAUUCUACUGAGGCCUUUUUAAGUCUUAGGUACCCUGAUUCAGACGAAAAUUUGUCACCUCUCUGGCUUCUGAAAUCCUUUUGGUACCUAUGUCAUACACCUAUCUCCAGUAACCUUUUGUCUAAUGAAUAUCUAAAGAAAUAUAUGUUCCUUUAGCAUGAAAUUGAAAUAGCAUGGAAUUCGUCUC
rnacentral:lncRNA from 1 species